AUACGUAGGGGGCAAGCGUUAUCCGGAUUUAUUGGGUGUAAAGGGUGCGUAGACGGACAUGCAAGUUGGCUGUGAAAUCCCGAGGCUCAACCUCGGAACUGCAACCAAAACUACAUAUCUUGAGUACUGGAGGGGAAAGCGGAAUUCCUAGUGUAGCGGUGAAAUGCGUAGAUAUUAGGAAGAACACCGGUGGCGAAGGCGGCUUUCUGGACAGCAACUGACGUUGAGGCACGAAAGUGUGGGUAGCAAACAGGAUUAGAUACCCUGGUAGUCCACACUGUAAACGAUGGAUACUAGAUGUUGGUGAUGAUGAAUCAUCAGUGUCGUCGCAAACGCAAUAAGUAUCCCACCUGAGUAGUACGACCGCAAGGUUGAAACUCAAAGGAAUUGACGGGG
rnacentral:rRNA from 1 species